GCGCCCAUAGCUCAGUUGAUAGAGUGGUGGGACGAUACCCCACGGUCCCGGCUUCAAGUCACGGCGGUCGCU